UGACCCAUCUCUCUCUCUGCUCGACACUGAUAACCCCUCUCUCCCCAAAUUUUUGAAGGUAAAUCACUAAUCACUCAGCUCUCUCUCUUUCUUCUCAUACUGUAAGGUUUUUUUUUUCCUUUUCUGUUUAAUUUUUUCGUUCAUCUGAAAGCUCAAAUAGAAUCUCUUUCAAUUCGCUCAAGCCGUGGCCCUCUUCCAUCAAUCCCAGUACUGUCGACGACUUCUCCAGAAGCCUAUCAGCAACGUUUGAGGAAUGGCGUCAAAGUCAACCCGAUUCCGAGGAUGGUAGCUCAACCCAAGUAUCACUCAAUGAUGUAGCUUCAAUAUGGACGCAGGUGGUUGGUGGCGCAAAGAAAGGUAGAACCUACGGUCUUUGAUCACAAUAUUAUGUAGGUCGUUCUACGACAUUGUUGUCUGGUGAUGCGAGUGAUUCGCAAGAUCAUGAAGAGGUGGAAGCAUUACGUAUAGAAGUUGUAGAGUUGAAGGAGGAACGGAAAGAAGAUCGCGCAAAUUUUAACAAAUUGCAGAGUCUAGUGGAGAAAUUUUUGAGCGGACGUCCAUUUGGUCCUUUGAAUGGCGAGGAUGGCGGGGAUAAUGAGUUUUAGUUUGUUAUGGUUGUGAUGUUUGAGAUAUUAUUAUUUGUUGUAGUUGGAUGUUUAGACUUGGUAAUAUUUGCACUUGACUAUGAUUGUAAUAUUUUAGACUAGAUUGAAUGGUGCCAGAAUGUUCAACUCU